rnacentral:rRNA from 1 species
CCUACGGGGGGCAGCAGUGAGGAAUAUUGGUCAAUGGCCGGAAGGCUGAACCAGCCAAGUCGCGUGAAGGAAGAAGGAACUAUGGUUUGUAAACUUCUUUUAUAGGGGAAUAAAGGUUUCCACGUGUGGAUUUUUGCAUGUACCCUAUGAAUAAGCAUCGGCUAACUCCGUGCCAGCAGCCGCGGUAAUACGGAGGAUGCGAGCGUUAUCCGGAUUUAUUGGGUUUAAAGGGUGCGUAGGUGGUUUGUUAAGUCAGCGGUGAAAGUUUGUGGCUCAACCCUAAAAUUGCCGUUGAAACUGGAAGACUUGAGUGUGUUUGAGGUAGGCGGAAUGCGUGGUGUAGCGGUGAAAUGCAUAGAUAUCACGCAGAACUCCGAUUGCGAAGGCAGCUUACUAAGCCAUAACUGACACUGAGGCACGAAAGCGUGGGGAUCAAACAGGAUUAGAUACCCUUGUAGUC